UACGGAGGGUGCAAGCGUUGUUCGGAAUUACUGGGCGUAAAGCGCGUGUAGGCGGCUGAGCGGGUCAGAUGUGAAAGCCUUCCGCUUAACGGAAGAAGUGCAUUUGAAACUACUCAGCUAGAGUUCGGGAGAGGAGAGUGGAAUUCCCGGUGUAGAGGUGAAAUUCGUAGAUAUCGGGAGGAACACCGGUGGCGAAGGCGGCUCUCUGGCCCGACACUAACGCUGAGACGCGAAAGCGUGGGGAGCAAAC
rnacentral:rRNA from 1 species